rnacentral:rRNA from 1 species
UACGAAGGGGGCUAGCGUUGCUCGGAAUCACUGGGCGUAAAGCGCACGUAGGCGGAUUUCUAAGUCAGGGGUGAAAUCCUGGAGCUCAACUCCUGAACUGCCUUUGAUACUGGGAAUCUAGAGUCCGGGAGAGGUGAGUGGAACUGCGAGUGUAGAGGUGAAAUUCGUAGAUAUUCGCAAGAACACCAGUGGCGAAGGCGGCUCACUGGCCCGGUACUGACGCUGAGGUGCGAAAGCGUGGGGAGCAAACAGG